rnacentral:lncRNA from 1 species
AAAAAAUAUGCAACUAUUAAUGCUGGCACAAAUUUCAGAAUAUACAAAAGCUAAUUUUAAAUUUAUAAGAAAGUGUUUCAUUGAAACUCGGAUAGAUCUAGUGUUAUUGAAGAAGCAUUUUUCUCCUGAGCAAUCUAUGUUUUAAUAAUCAGUUCAGAGCAAUAUGAACACUACCUGUUUGCAAAAGGGAGACAUAUGCCUUCAAACACGGAAAUACUGAAAAUUUUGGUAUAGUAACUGUCUAAUCCUCAUAACCAUUUGUUGACAAUUUAUGUAAAAGUAGUUUGCAAAAUCAAAUCCAAUUAAACUUUUAUAUAUUUCAUAUUAAGUGAUUUGAAAAAUUUGCAUUAAAACAUUGUAAUUAAGCCUAGCCUCAAGUUUGUCAGAACACAUUGGUGACAUAUAUGGUGUGACAUGUUUUUGUUUUUUUUAUGUAAUAAAAAAAUUCAAAUUUCAAUUACAAUUUUACAAGGAAGAUAAUGUCUUCCAGCAGGAAAAAGACCCUAAAAAUGCAUUUAAACAGUAAUUCAGACUAAAUUCAGAGCAGUAUCAGCCUUUAAUUUUGGAAGCAUUUAACACUGUUUAAGGUUGACCAAGAUCAUACAGCUGAUCCUACUCUUUUUAGCAGUAGUAAAUACUGUUGCCCAUUCUUAUCCCAAAC